rnacentral:rRNA from 1 species
UUUUAUGGUCACACUACCCGAAUGUGCCUGAUCUUAUCUGAUCUCAGAAGCUAAGCAGGGUCAGGCCUGGUUAGUACUUGGAUGGGAGACCACUGGGUGUAACAGGUGCUACAGGCU